GUCCUGGGAUAGCUGAGUCGGUAGAGCAUGAGACUCUUAAUCUCAGGGUUGUGGGUUCAAGGCCAGCGUUUGGCA